AUUGAACGCUGACGGCAGGCCUAACACAUGCAAGUCGAGCGGAUGAAGGGAGCUUGCUCCUGGAUUCAGCGGCGGACGGGUGAGUAAUGCCUAGGAAUCUGCCUGGUAGUGGGGGAUAACGUCCGGAAACGGGCGCUAAUACCGCAUACGUCCUGAGGGAGAAAGUGGGGGAUCUUCGGACCUCACGCUAUCAGAUGAGCCUAGGUCGGAUUAGCUAGUUGGUGGGGUAAAGGCCUACCAAGGCGACGAUCCGUAACUGGUCUGAGAGGAUGAUCAGUCACACUGGAACUGAGACACGGUCCAGACUCCUACGGGAGGCAGCAGUGGGGAAUAUUGGACAAUGGGCGAAAGCCUGAUCCAGCCAUGCCGCGUGUGUGAAGAAGGUCUUCGGAUUGUAAAGCGCUUUAAGUUGGGAGGAAGGGCAGUAAGUUAAUACCUUGCUGUUUUGACGUUACCAACAGAAUAAGCACCGGCUAACUUCGUG
rnacentral:rRNA from 1 species